rnacentral:rRNA from 1 species
GUUUUUCGCUCUAUGAUAAGCCCGCGUAAGAUUAGCUAGUUGGUGAGGUAAUGGCUCACCAAGGCGACGAUCUUUAGCUGGUCUGAGAGGAUGAUCAGCCACACUGGAACUGAGACACGGUCCAGACUCCUACGGGAGGCAGCAGUAGGGAAUAUUGCACAAUGGAGGAAACUCUGAUGCAGCGACGCCGCGUGAGUGAUGAAGGACUUCGGUUCGUAAAGCUCUGUCGUAUGGGAAUAAGAAAGUG